GAGGGUAUAGCUCAAGUGGCAGAGUGCAUGCUUAGCAUGCACAAGGUCCUGGGUUCAAUCCCCAGUACCUCCC
rnacentral:tRNA from 1 species